rnacentral:rRNA from 1 species
UUUAAAGGGCCGCAGUAUUUUGACUGUGCAAAGGUAGCAUAAUAAUUAGUCUUUUAAUUGAAGGCUGGUAUGAAUGGUUGGAUGAGGUGAAUUCUGUUUUAUGUUAAUUUUUAUUGAAUUUAGAUUUUAAGUAAAAAGACUUAAAUUUUGUUAAGGGACGAGAAGACCCUAUAGAGUUUAAUAAAUGUAGUAAUUAAUUGAGUUAAAUUUUAAUUUUUGAUUAUUAUGAAAGUUAUUUAAUUGGGGUGAUUAGGAGAUAAGAUUAACUCUUCUUUAUAUUUAAUAUAAUAAUUAGUUAUAUGAUCCAUAUUUAAUGAUUAAAAGAUUAAAUUACCUUAGGGAUAACAGCAUAAUUCUUUUUGAGAGUUCAUAUCGAAAGAAGAGAUUGUGACCUCGAUGUUGGAUUAAGAUUAAUUUUGGGUGCAG